rnacentral:sRNA from 1 species
UGAAAACUGAAACUACCUUUCCUACAGU